UGCAAGUCGAACGGCAGCACGGGUGCUUGCACCUGGUGGCGAGUGGCGAACGGGUGAGUAAUGCACCGGAACGUACCCAGUAAUGGGGGAUAACACAUCGAAAGAUGUGCUAAUACCGCAUACGCCCUGAGGGGGAAAGCGGGGGAUCGUAAGACCUCGCGUUAUUGGAGCGGCCGAUGCCGGAUUAGCUAGUUGGUGAGGUAAGAGCUCACCAAGGCGACGAUCCGUAGCUGGUCUGAGAGGACGACCAGCCACACUGGGACUGAGACACGGCCCAGACUCCUACGGGAGGCAGCAGUGGGGAAUUUUGGACAAUGGGCGCAAGCCUGAUCCAACCAUGCCGCGUGAGUGAAGAAGGCCUUCGGGUUGUCUUAUUUCUUUCGCAAGGAAAGAAAACUUAUCU
rnacentral:rRNA from 1 species